AUUGAACGCUGGCGGCAUGCUUUACACAUGCAAGUCGAACGGUAACAGGCCGCAAGGUGCUGACGAGUGGCGAACGGGUGAGUAAUGCAUCGGAACGUGCCCAGUCGUGGGGGAUAACGCAGCGAAAGCUGUGCUAAUACCGCAUACGAUCUAUGGAUGAAAGCGGGGGACCGUAAGGCCUCGCGCGAUUGGAGCGGCCGAUGUCAGAUUAGGUAGUUGGUGGGGUAAAGGCCCACCAAGCCAACGAUCUGUAGCUGGUCUGAGAGGACGACCAUCCACACUGGGCCUGAGACACAGCACAGACUCCUACGGGAGGCAGCAGUGGGGAAUUUUGGACAAUGGGCGCAAGCCUGAUACAGCAAUGCCGCGUGCAGGAAGAAGGCCUUCGGGUUGUAAACUGCUUUUGUACGGAACGAAACGGUCUGGGUUAAUACCCUGGGCUAAUGACGGUACCGUAAGAAUAAGCACCGGCUAACUACGUGCCAGCAGCCGCGGUAA
rnacentral:rRNA from 1 species